rnacentral:lncRNA from 1 species
AACACUACGAGCUUGACAUGUUUGGUUUAAACUACCGUGACACUAGAAUCACACGACAACAUCACAAGACUACAAGCUUACCACUUGGUAAUAACCACCCGUAACACUAUAAAACAGAAGACAACUGAUUGACAUGUUUGGUAAUAACUCCCGUGACACAUGAAAACAGUAGAGCACAAGAGACUAAAAUUCCUCCACCGAGACUUCAUGACACUGAGCUUCUCCGUGAGUACACUGCUACACUCUUCUGCACCUGGAAAACUAAGAGAAGAACAUGAGACAGAGAUAACUAUAACAAGUAUUUUUAUGAUUACUAACUAGCCUCUUAUAUUAACCAAACACCAAGACAAGAAGAUGAGACAGCGAACACAAGAACAAGCAUUUAUAUAAUUAAUAGCCACAGUCACAUUACAACCAUAAGAAGAACAUGAAAAUAAGACACUGAAACUAAAACAUGAGAACAAGACAUUGAAACUAAAAACAUCACCACAAGACACAUAAACUAAAAAUUAGAACAAGAACUUAGAAUAUCGAAUUUCUUUCUUAGCAUAGAGCUAAUUUGAGAGCAAGUCAGUAAUCAGCUUCUUCUUCAAAGCCUCUUCAUAGUCAAGAAGCGAUUCUGUCUUUGCAAGUAAUGAGUCAAGUAGCUUCAUCUUUGAUAACUUCUCAUUCAUAGCCAAAUCCUGCAUC